GAUGAAGAACGUAGCGAAAUGCGAUAAGUAAUGUGAAUUGCAGAAUUCAGUGAAUCAUCGAAUCUUUGAACGCACAUUGCGCCCGCCAGUAUUCUGGCGGGCAUGCCUGUUCGAGCGUCAUUUCAACCCUCAAGACCCCUUCGGGGGACUUGGUGUUGGGGACCGGCACAGGGGCCUGCCUGCUUGUCUUGCAGCGCCCUCGCCGCCCCCGAAAUGAAUUGGCGGCCUCGUCGCGGCCUCCCCUGCGUAGUAGCACAAACCUCGCAACGGGAACGUGACGGCGGCCACUGCCGUAAAACAACCCAAUUUUAUUAGAGUUGACCUCGAAUCAGGUAGGAAUACCCGCUGAACUUAAGCAUAUCAAUAACGGAGGA
rnacentral:misc_RNA from 1 species